UACGGAGGGUGCAAGCGUUGUUCGGAUUUACUGGGCGUAAAGCGUGCGCAGGCGGUCUGUUAAGACAGAUGUGAAAUCCCCGGGCUUAACCUGGGAACUGCAUUUGUGACUGGCAGGCUAGAGUAUGGCAGAGGGGGAUGGAAUUCCGCGUGUAGCAGUGAAAUGCGUAGAUAUGCGGAGGAACACCGAUGGCGAAGGCAAUCCCCUGGGCCUGCACUGACGCUCAUGCACGAAAGCGUGGGGAGCAAACAGG
rnacentral:rRNA from 1 species